UGCUUAAUAGGCAGUGCCUCAUUUGGUGAGA
rnacentral:piRNA from 1 species